GACGUAGGGCGCGAGCGUUGUCCGGAUUUAUUGGGCGUAAAGAGCUCGUAGGCGGCUUGUCGCGUCGACUGUGAAAACCCGCGGCUUAACUGCGGGCUUGCAGUUGAUACGGGCAGGCUAGAGUUCGGUAGGGGAGACUGGAAUUCCUGGUGUAGCGGUGAAAUGCGCAGAUAUCAGGAGGAACACCGGUGGCGAAGGCGGAUCUCUGGGCCUGUCCUGACGCUCAGGCGCGAAAGCUAGGGGAGCAAACAGG
rnacentral:rRNA from 1 species